GUAGAAGAACAAUGAAAAGAGCUAGCAGCCUGAAGUAAGCAAAAUCAAACCACUAUGCAAGUCGUUGUGAAAGGAUACAUUCAGCCUCUUGUUUAAUCAGGACUGCUGGGAGAGAGCGGAAGUCACACAUGGAUCCCUACCCGGUCUACAUGGGCUGCUCCUCUGUGUGCCUCCCAGCAUCAGCUUCCCGCAGAACAAAUCGUGGCUCUCAGAAUUUUGGCCAAGCUGGCUACAGACCUGGAAAAACGAAAACUGAGCUAACCUUCAAUGCCAAGACAUAAUGUUACAAAAAAUAAGCUAAGAGUUGUCCAAUCAUUGAAUCCAUUCCAGUGGUCUCUUAUUAAACUAAAUGUGCUGAGCCAAUGUCAGUUAACUAGACUUACUAAGUCAGUAAGUGCUUAAAAGUCUUACUCAUACCUGAAUAAAAUCAGUGCUUUGAAGACUGAGAAUCCAUGUUCGGCCUCCCCACCCCCCCCCCCUUUUUUUUAGGUUUGAUCAUUUGCUGGUAAGAAGAGAGCCCUUGAAAUGUCAUUCCUCCUAUUUGCUUGGGAGCACUGUUGAUGGAAGGACUUUUCGCUUUUCCAGAAAGUACAAGAAGUGACAAAACACAACGAAAAGAUGUUUUUGUGGCACAGUUGGUUCUAAGCAGGGCUUCACUGCAGCCUCAGGCAGCAGGAAGCCUGAUGAGAUUCCAAGUUCUUCAUCCCUGAUGGUCUCUCCCAGGCACUGUGUUGUGUGGCUGGAUGUGGCCCCCACCACUAUCAGUAGUUUACCACCACUUUCUGAAACAAACUGCUCCAAUAAUUUAAGCCACCAUUGCCAGACUGCAAAGCUGGAUAAUGUUUUCCUAGGAGCCAGCUGAGUAGUGAAGAAGGCUGCGCAGACACCGGAGCAGGUCCUGUGGCCAAGGGAGGCUGGUGAUUUUUUGCCCCUGGGAAGACUGAAAACUUGGCAAGCAUUGGAGCAACUUGCUCUAACUGGACCUGCUCUGAGCAGGAAGUGGGAUUACAUGACAGGAGGUCUCUUCCUGCUGACAUACUUCUGGGACUCUCAGAUUCUGUUACUGUAAGAUUACACUGGGCGCUGGGAGAAUGACCGCUAUUGAAAUUAUGUUCUAAUUGCAAUGAAAAGUUAAUGAAUUAAAGAUAAGUCUAUUGUUUCCUAUAUGCAGUGAAUAAUAAUGAGUAAACGUAUAAUACAUCAUUGUGGAAUUUGCUAGUCAUCAGUUUGCUUUUAAUUCUUUUACAUAAUUAUGCUACUAUCGUGCUUAUAACCCUUGCUAUUCGGGUUUUGCAUAUUCAUAUAAUCUAUUGAGAUACUAGUUCAUAAAGUUCACUGUGCAGGUUUUAGUCAUUUUUAUCUUUGUAAUAGAGCAAGGUUUGUCUGGGGUUCGUUGAUUUUUUUUUUUCACAGCAUAACCCAAAAUGAACCUCAGAUCAAAGUCACCCAAUUCUAUACAGAAUACUUUGCCCUUCACUGCAGUGUCUGAGAGCCUUCCAGUAAUCUAUUACACAAUGUGAUUAACAUCUGUCACGUGGUGUUUGUUUCUCAUCUUCUCCCCAGGGAUAAACUCAGUCAAAUGUU
rnacentral:lncRNA from 7 species